AGUGUGGGCCUCGCAGCUGGUUCGCCCCCGUCCGCCAGGCGGGAUGCGUCGCAAGAGGGAACCCGGUGGGAAUCCGGGACUGCCCCGCAGCGGUGAGCGGGAACGACCGCCGUCAUACGCACUGGGACCGGAACCGGUCCUGGGAAGCGACGGCCAGUAGGUGCCCGCCGGGAGACCGGCAGGCGUGCCCGCGAGUCCGAAGACCUGCCCGUUGCCCGAGCGCGAU
rnacentral:ncRNA from 2 species